GCCGAGGUAGCCAAGUUGGUCACGGCGGGCGUCUGAAGAACGUCAGAUACAAGUUCGAUUCUUGUCCUCGGCA
rnacentral:tRNA from 1 species